CUAGUGGCGGACGGGUGAGUAACGCGUGGGAACAUACCCUUUGGUACGGAAUAGCCUCGGGAAACCGAGAGUAAUACCGUAUGUGCCCUUCGGGGGAAAGAUUUAUCGCCUUUGGAUUGGCCCGCGUUGGAUUAGGUAGUUGGUGGGGUAAUGGCCUACCAAGCCGACGAUCCAUAGCUGGUUUGAGAGGAUGAUCAGCCACACUGGGACUGAGACACGGCCCAGACUCCUACGGGAGGCAGCAGUGGGGAAUCUUAGACAAUGGGGGAAACCCUGAUCUAGCCAUGCCGCGUGAUCGAUGAAGGCCUUAGGGUUGUAAAGAUCUUUCAGAUGGGAAGAUAAUGACGGUACCAUCAGAAGAAGCCCCGGCUAACUCCGUGCCAGCAGCCGCGGUAAUACGGAGGGGGCUAGCGUUAUUCGGAAUUACUGGGCGUAAAGCGCACGUAGGCGGAUCAGAAAGUCAGAGGUGAAAUCCCAGGGCUCAACCUUGGA
rnacentral:rRNA from 1 species